rnacentral:lncRNA from 1 species
AGAUGGCUGGGGGCAAGGCUGGAGCGACUCUGGGGCAGACACACCUUUCUCGGCAGAAUCUUGCCACCUUGGAUGUUAGUUACCAAGUUGACACCACUAUCACAUGAAGUUAUCAGCAGACAAGCCACAAUUAAUAUAGGUACAAUUGGUCAUGUAGCUCAUGGGAAGUCCACAGUUGUAAAAGCCAUUUCUGAAGUUCACACUGUCAGGUUCAAAAACGAACUAGAAAGAAACAUUACAAUCAAGCUUGGAUAUGCUAAUGCAAAGAUUUAUAAACUUGAUGACCCAAGUUGUCCUCGGCCAGAAUGUUAUAGGUCAUGUGGAAGUAGCACACCUGAUGAGUUUCAUAUAGAUAUUCCAGGGACCAAAGGGAACUUCAGAUUAUCCAGAUUAUUAUUUCCUUUGUUGACUGUCCUGCCCAUGAUAUUUUGAUAGCUACUAUGCUGAAUGGUGCAGCAGUGAUGGAUGCAGCUCUUCCUUUGAUAGCUGGUAAUGAAUCUUGUCCUCAGCCUCAGACUUCUGAACACAUAGCUGCUAUAGAAAUCAUGAAACUGAAGCAUAUUUUGAUUCUAC